CGUAGGGUGCGAGCGUUGUCCGGAAUUAUUGGGCGUAAAGGGCUCGUAGGCGGUUUGUCGCGUCGGGAGUGAAAUCCACUGGCUUAACUGGUGGCUUGCUUUCGAUACGGGCAGACUGGAGGUAUGCAGGGGAGAACGGAAUUCCUGGUGUAGCGGUGAAAUGCGCAGAUAUCAGGAGGAACACCGGUGGCGAAGGCGGCAUCCUGGACCAACACUGACGCUGAGGAGCGAAAGCCAGGGGAGCAAACGGGA
rnacentral:rRNA from 1 species